rnacentral:rRNA from 2 species
CCGGAAGACCAAGGGUUCCUGUCCAACGUUAAUCGGGGCAGGGUGAGUCGACCCCUAAGGCGAGGCCGAAAGGCGUAGUCGAUGGGAAACGGGUUAAUAUUCCCGUACUUGGUGUUACUGCGAAGGGGGGACGGAGAAGGCUAUGUUGGCCGGGCGACGGUUGUCCCGGUUUAAGCGUGUAGGUGUGUGUUCCAGGUAAAUCCGGUUCACUUUAACACUGAGGCGUGAUGACGAGGCACUACGGUGCUGAAGCAACAAAUGCCCUGCUUCCAGGAAAAGCCUCUAAGCAUCAGGUAACAUCAAAUCGUACCCCAAACCGACACAGGUGGUCAGGUAGAGAAUACCAAGGCGCUUGAGAGAACUCGGGUGAAGGAACUAGGCAAAAUGGUGCCGUAACUUCGGGAGAAGGCACGCUGACAC